rnacentral:rRNA from 1 species
GAUGAACGCUGGCGGCGUGCUUAACACAUGCAAGUCGAACGAAGCACUUAGACGGAAGUUUUCGGAUGGAAGAUUAAGUGACUGAGUGGUGGACGGGUGAGUAACGCGUGGGCAACCUGCCUCAUACAGGGGGAUAACAGUUAGAAAUAGCUGCUAAUACCGUAUAAGCUUACAGUACCGCAUGGUACAGUAAGAAAAACUCCGGUGGUAUGAGAUGGGCCCGCGUCUGAUUAGCUAGUUGGUAAGGUAACGGCUUACCAAGGCGACGACCCGUAGCCGACCUGAGAGGGUGACCGGCCACAUUUGGACUGUGACACGGCCCAGACCCCUACGGGAGGCAGCAGUGGAGAAUAUUGCGAAAUGGGGGAAACCCUGACGCAGCAACGCCGCGUGAUUGAUGAAGGCCUUCGGGUUGUAAAAAUCUUUAAUCAGGGACGAAGGAAUUGACGGUACCUGAAGAAUAAGCACCGGCUAACUACGUGCCAGCCGCCGCGGUAACAC